rnacentral:rRNA from 1 species
GAGAGUUUGAUCCUGGCUCAGAUUGAACGCUAGCGGGAUGCUUUACACAUGCAAGUCGAACGGCAGCGCGAGAGAGCUUGCUCUCUUGGCGGCGAGUGGCGGACGGGUGAGUAAUAUAUCGGAACGUGCCCAGUAGCGGGGGAUAACUACUCGAAAGAGUGGCUAAUACCGCAUACGCCCUACGGGGGAAAGGGGGGGAUCGCAAGACCUCUCACUAUUGGAGCGGCCGAUAUCGGAUUAGCUAGUUGGUGGGGUAAAGGCUCACCAAGGCAACGAUCCGUAGCUGGUUUGAGAGGACGACCAGCCACACUGGGACUGAGACACGGCCCAGACUCCUACGGGAGGCAGCAGUGGGGAAUUUUGGACAAUGGGGGAAACCCUGAUCCAGCCAUCCCGCGUGUAUGAUGAAGGCCUUCGGGUUGUAAAGUACUUUUGGCAGAAAAGAAAAGGUAUCCCCUAAUACGGGAUACUGCUGACGGUAUCUGCAGAAUAAGCACCGGCUAACUACGUGCCAGCAGCCGCGGUAAUACGUAGGGUGCAAGCGUUAAUCGGAAUUACUGGGCGUAAAGCGUGUGUAGGCGGUUCGGAAAGAAAGAUGUGAAAUCCCAGGGCUCAACCUUGGAACUGCAUUUUUAACUGCCGAGCUAGAGUAUGUCAGAGGGGGGUAGAAUUCCACGUGUAGCAGUGAAAUGCGUAGAUAUGUGGAGGAAUACCGAUGGCGAAGGCAGCCCCCUGGGAUAAUACUGACGCUCAGACACGAAAGCGUGGGGAGCAAACAGGAUUAGAUACCCUGGUAGUCCACGCCCUAAACGAUGUCAACUAGCUGUUGGGGCCGUUAGGCCUUAGUAGCGCAGCUAACGCGUGAAGUUGACCGCCUGGGGAGUACGGUCGCAAGAUUAAAACUCAAAGGAAUUGACGGGGACCCGCACAAGCGGUGGAUGAUGUGGAUUAAUUCGAUGCAACGCGAAAAACCUUACCUACCUUGACAUGUCUGGAAAGCCGAAGAGAUUUGGCCGUGCUCGCAAAAGAACCGGAACACAGGUGCUGCAUGGCUGUCGUCAGCUCGUGUCGUGAGAUGUUGGGUUAAGUCCCGCAACGAGCGCAACCCUUGUCAUUAGUUGCUACGCAAGAGCACUCUAAUGAGACUGCCGGUGACAAACCGGAGGAAGGUGGGGAUGACGUCAAGUCCUCAUGGCCCUUAUGGGUAGGGCUUCACACGUCAUACAAUGGUCGGGACAGAGGGUCGCCAACCCGCGAGGGGGAGCCAAUCUCAGAAACCCGAUCGUAGUCCGGAUCGCAGUCUGCAACUCGACUGCGUGAAGUCGGAAUCGCUAGUAAUCGCGGAUCAGAAUGUCGCGGUGAAUACGUUCCCGGGUCUUGUACACACCGCCCGUCACACCAUGGGAGUGGGUUUCACCAGAAGUAGGUAGCCUAACCGUAAGGAGGGCGCUUACCACGGUGGGAUUCAUGACUGGGGUGAAGUCGUAACAAGGUAGCCGUAUCGGAAGGUGCGGCUGGAUCACCUCCUU